ACGGGUGAGGAAUACGUCGGAAUCUGCCUAUUUGUGGGGGAUAACGUAGGGAAACUUACGCUAAUACCGCAUACGACCUUAGGGUGAAAGCGGAGGACCUUCGGGCUUCGCGCAGAUAGAUGAGCCGACGUCGGAUUAGCUAGUUGGCGGGGUAAAGGCCCACCAAGGCGACGAUCCGUAGCUGGUCUGAGAGGAUGAUCAGCCACACUGGAACUGAGACACGGUCCAGACUCCUACGGGAGGCAGCAGUGGGGAAUAUUGGACAAUGGGCGCAAGCCUGAUCCAGCCAUGCCGCGUGUGUGAAGAAGGCCUUCGGGUUGUAAAGCACUUUUGUCCGGAAAGAAAAGCUUCGGGCUAAUACCCCGGGGUCAUGACGGUACCGGAAGAAUAAGCACCGGCUAACUUCGUGCCAGCAGCCGCGGUAAUACGAAGGGUGCAAGCGUUACUCGGAAUUACUGGGCGUAAAGCGUGCGUAGGUGGUUAGUUAAGUCUGAUGUGAAAGCCCCGGGCUCAACCUGGGAAUUGCAUUGGAUACUGGCAGGCUAGAGUGCGGUAGAGGAUGGCGGAAUUCCCGGUGUA
rnacentral:rRNA from 1 species